GCUUCAUAUUGUAUUCUUCAACUUCGAUGCACAUAGAUGUUACUACUAUUAGUUAGUUUUGCCAUUGCACAGCAAAAAAUUAUCAUUUUAAAAAGGAGAUGAAGAAGGAGAAAGGUAAGGGAGGGGAGAUAGAAUGAGAGAGAGAGAUAGAUGGAAGAGAGAGAGAGGACAACGGGGGGCAUAAAGAUAUGUUAGGGCAAUUUCUAAUGUUCUUGUAGAUUUUUUUUGUGAAACAAUCUGUAACACUCUUAAUUUUUAAAUUUAUUAUUUU
rnacentral:misc_RNA from 1 species